rnacentral:rRNA from 1 species
UUAAAUAGGCAAAUCCGUUUAGACAAUGCUAGGAUGUGAUGGGGAAGCCCUUCGGGGCGAAGUAGCUGAUUUCACACUGUCAAGAAAAGCUUCUAUCGAGUUUAAAGGCGCCCGUACCGUAAACCGACACAGGUGGGUGAGGAGAGUAUCCUAAGGCCAGCGAGAGAACUAUUGUUAAGGAACUCGGCAAAAUGACCCCGUAACUUAGGGAGAAGGGGUGCCUGUCUAUGACAGGCCGCAGAGAAUAGGCCCAAGCGACUGUUUACCAAAAACACAGGUUUCUGCUAAGUCGCAAGACGAUGUAUAGGAGCUGACGCCUGCCCGGUGCUGGAAGGUUAAGGGGAUCUGUUAGAGCAAUCGAAGCAGUGAACUUAAGCCCCAGUAAACGGCGGCCGUAACAAUAACGGUCCUAAGGUAGCGAAAUUCCUUGUCGGGUAAGUUCCGACCCGCACGAAAGGCGUAACGAUUUGGGCACUGUCUCAACAAUAGACUCGGUGAAAUUGUAAUCCCGGUGAAGAUGCCGGGUACCUGCGACAGGACGGAAGGACCCCAUGGAGCUUUACUGUAGCUUGACGUUGGGUCUUGGUACUACAUGUACAGGAUAGGUGGGAGACUAUGAAGCAUGGACGCCAGUCUGUGUGGGGUCAUCCUUGGGAUACCACCCUUGUAGUACUGGGAUCCUAACCAUAGGCCUUGAAUCAGGUCUUGGAACACCGUCAGGUGGGCAGUUUGACUGGGGCGGUCGCCUCCUAAAAAGUAACGGAGGCGCUCAAAGGUUUCCUCAGCACGGUCGGAAAUCGUGCGAAGAGUGUAAAGGCAAAAGGAAGCUUGAUUGCAAGACAUACAGGUCGAGCAAGGACGAAAGUCGGACUUAGUGAUCCGGUGGUACCGCAUGGAAGGGCCAUCGCUCAACGGAUAAAAGCUACCCUGGGGAUAACAGGCUUAUCUCCCCCAAGAGUCCACAUCGACGGGGAGGUUUGGCACCUCGAUGUCGGCUCAUCACAUCCUGGGGCUGUAGUAGGUCCCAAGGGUUGGGCUGUUCGCCCAUUAAAGUGGUACGCGAGCUGGGUUCAGAACGUCGUGAGACAGUUCGGUCCCUAUCCGUCGCAGGCGUAGGAAAUUUGAGAAGACCUGUCCUUAGUACGAGAGGACCGGGAUGGACGUACCUCUGGUGUACCAGUUGUUCUGCCAAGGGCAUGGCUGGGUAGCUAUGUACGGAAUGGAUAAGCGCUGAAAGCAUCUAAGCGCGAAGCCAACUUCAAGAUAAGAUUUCCCACCGUAAGGGUAAGACCCCAGGAAGACUACCUGGUUGAUAGGUCGAAGGUGUAAGUGCAGUAAUGUAUUUAGCUUGUCGAUACUAAUAGGUCGAGGACUUGACCG